GUGUUGUAUGAAAAAAGAGAGUAUCAGUAUUCCUCUUAAUGAGAAUGGAAUAAUUCCUGGUGAUUUUUACAACAUAUAUGUGGUUAAAGCAUUGCUGUCUACUCUUUCACACUUAAUCAUAUUUUUCU